rnacentral:rRNA from 1 species
AUUGAACGCUGGCGGCGUGCUUAACACAUGCAAGUCGAUCGGUAACAGGUGUAGCAAUACAUGCUGACGAGAGGCGGACGGGUGAGGAAUAUUUGGGAAUCUGCCCAUCAGCGGGGGACAACCCGGGGAAACUCGGGCUAAUACCGCAUACGCUCUACGGAGGAACGCCGGGGACCGCAAGGCCUGGCACUGAUGGAUGAGCCCAAAUGGGAUUAGCUAGUUGGCGGGGUAACGGCCCACCAAGGCGACGAUCCGUAGCUGGUCUGAGAGGACUAUCAGCCACACCGGAACUGAGACACGGUCCGGACUCCUACGGGAGGCAGCAGUGGGGAAUAUUGGACAAUGGGGGAAACCCUGAUCCAGCGACGCCGCGUGGGUGAAGAAGGCCUGCGGGUUGUAAGGCCCUUUCGGUAGGGAAGAAAUCUCUUGUCUUAACACGGCAGGAGUUUGACUUAACCUACAUAAGAAGCACCGGCUAACUCUGUGCCAGCCGCCGCCGUAACAC